rnacentral:rRNA from 1 species
GACGAACGCUGGCGGCGUGCCUAAUACAUGCAAGUCGAGCGAAUCUUGAGGGGCUUGCCCCUUGAGGUUAGCGGCGGACGGGUGAGUAACACGUGGGCAACCUGCCUGUAAGACUGGGAUAACUCCGGGAAACCGGUGCUAAUACCGGAUAAUUCUUUUCCUCACAUGUGGGAAAGCUGAAAGUCGGUUUCGGCUGACACUUACAGAUGGGCCCGCGGCGCAUUAGCUAGUCGGUGAGGUAACGGCUCACCAAGGCAACGAUGCGUAGCCGACCUGAGAGGGUGAUCGGCCACACUGGGACUGAGACACGGCCCAGACUCCUACGGGAGGCAGCAGUAGGGAAUCUUCCGCAAUGGACGAAAGUCUGACGGAGCAACGCCGCGUGAGUGAUGAAGGCCUUCGGGUCGUAAAACUCUGUUGUUAGGGAAGAACAAGUAUCGGAGUAACUGCCGGUACCUUGACGGUACCUAACCAGAAAGCCACGGCUAACUACGUGCCAGCCGCCGCCGUAAUAC